GGUAUGUCCAGCUUCUGAAGCUGCGUCCUUAAGGGGUUAAGUACCACUCAAAACUUUCCUACAGACGGAGAUCAGGUCCUUAAAGAGUGAUGGAUCCCACAUCUCAUUUUUUUCCAUCUACAGAAGAUACAACUGCACACAGCCUGCAGAUCCAGAGACAAAAUACUUUAUCUUACUGUAUAAAAACAAACUUUUUGUCCCGGUCUGGCAUAUGACAUCACCAAUCUACAUGUUUCACUCUGCCCUUCUGAGCUUUCUCAGGCAUCUGAGUCAGUC